AAAUAAACGUUGAAAAAAAAAAAAAUUUAAAAAAAAUAAAUAAAUAAAAAAAUAAAUAAAUAAAAUAAAAAUUGAAAGAAAAGAAAAGGCUUCUUGGUCAUGUGGUCCAGCCCCCACAUUCAACCCACCAGACAGGGGUUCAGAGAAUUCAGGUGGCGUGCUCAAGGACACUCAGCCCCAGGGAACCCAAAGCCACAACUAUAACCCAACUUUCUGAGUUGAGACAAGUAAACAAAUGAGGGAAAAAAUCUGCUGUAAAAAAAACAGGUUUAGUGCUCCAUUUGAGACAAUUGAUCUUAAAGGUUGUAAGUUUCAGAGUCAGACAGACUUAAUUUCAAAUCUAUCACUUACUAGCUGUGUAGCCUUGGGGAAGUUACUGAUCCUCUUUCUAAGCUUCAGUUUCCUCAUCUGCAAAUAGAAUGAAUAUUUACCUCAACAGGUUGGUGGUUCUAAUGAAAGGAUUAAUAUAUAUAGCUCAUAAUAACUACUUAGAAAGCAUGUACUAUCCAGCUAUUAAAUACAAAUUAACUCUAAGAUGUUCAUACCGUCUCCACCACCAAACUGCACAAUUCAAAUCACUCUUAUAAGUCAUGUAAGUCAACUUGUGAAACCAAACUUACAGUACCUUGGAUUUUGUAGUACCUUUCAGCACCUAAGGAAACAGGCUGUAUCAGGCAUAGGUUUAUAGAGCAAAUGGCUUUCGGUGGCACCUCUGACCAUAAUCACCAAGACUAUAAAAAGUUGCCAAAUAUGACAAAAUGAAUCUCCUUCCUCUUCUGUUUCCUGGUUGUCCUACCUCCGUGCCAGGCUCUACCACUAACUCCCCACUAGACUCGUCAGGUAGACGUGCUCCUUCCCCUGAAGCACCUCAUCCUUCUUAAAUACAAUUGUUUCUCUUUCACAGUUAUUAACUACGUAGUUGACAAGCAGAGUCAAGUGGUUCCUAAUAAGCUCAGCCAGGGAAGGUCUGUACCUGAAUAUUUCACUGGGCUGUGUCUAUAGAAGGUUGAACUGUAGUCAUGUCUCAUUUUCCCUUUUCACUCUACCAGACUCAGAAUUUCCAGCACAGGAGAGUGAACGGGCUGGGGCUCAAAAAUCAUCCCUUUCUUAGAGGCCCGUUAUUUGAUGUCUGCAUGGGACAGACUUCAUAGUCAAGCUUUGAAAAGGAUAUGCAAAAGAGCUGGGCCAACCUAAGAUGAAACUUCAGAAUUGAAAAUUGAUCCUGAACACAUGGACCAGUGUUAACACAUAGCACUCACUCUGUACGUACUACAGCUAAUCAUACCAAUGUCAACUGUUCCUAUUUUAUUGUAAUAAAUAAUACACUGAUUAAUACAGCUAAA